AAUUACAAUAAGGAAUGAAGAACAAAUAAAACCCUUAAUUAAAAUCCUAAGGCGAUCUUGAACUCUAACUGAGGAUGACUGGAUACUGAGGAUCCAAGGGUGGCAUCAAGCAUCACUGCUUCCGAUUGUCAAUCUAAAAUCAUCGCUCUGUCACGUCUUCAACGUCGUUACAAUUCUCGCAUGACUCAAAACUCUAAGAACUCGGUCCACAACAGUAGUAGAGGGUCACAAUCUUAAAAGAACAUAUAUACGAAAAUACAAAGCACGAAAGCAUAAUAUGACAUGACAUCAAUUGGUAAAUAGCGUGCAUAAAAAUAUUAUCAUAUAACAAACAUGACUCAUGUGACAAAGCACUGUAAUGCAACACUUAUAUGUCAGUGCACAUGAUUUCGAAAUUUCCACACCCUUCUCGAGGGGCGUAAAUCAUAAAUGUACCACCUCUCGCAUACCAAUAUUAAUUACCGAGGUGCCACCUUUCACAAAUCAACACGAUUUACCAGAGUGUAGUUUANNNNNNNNNNNNNACGACUCAAAAAUCCUCGUAAGGAUAAGGUGGACCAAUCAACUCAUGGAACCACCCCAUGCCCAUCACGGUCACCACUAACACUAUGGCCCAUCACGGUCGCCACUAACUAUGAAAUGCAUGAGCAUACUCUAACUCUUUCACAUUAGUCAUUAUGUAAAUGCAGCUAUUAAAAAACUCAUCUUUUAAUACUCAUUAAACACUAAUAAUUUUUACUACUUUUUCACAUAGCAUACUCAAAACAUAUUCUCAUCAAUAACACAUAUGUUAUCAAUUAUGAAUACGUAAUCACAUUGAAUACAUAAACAAUCGUGUGUACAUUUAUUCACAAUGAGCACAAAGAACAUGUAUACAAAUGCACAAUGUAUUCAAGCAUAUAUCAUAUCGUUAGAAAACGUAUUUACCUAAAUAGUGUUUUAUUACACAAGCAACUUACGCUACGCCUACAUAACCUAUCCGACGAUUUCAACAACACCUCUCAAUUUUCUUGUACCUUAAAUCAAUCAAUUAAAUUAAUCAAUACAAAUUUCUAAACCAACCCCAAAUGAACCCUAGAUUUGGCCACUAUCCAAAUCAAUUAGAUUUUGACUUUUCUCUUAGGUUCCCUAACUUCAAAAAGACAUUGGUUUAAGUACUUUGGCAAGUCAAAUUUUAAAACACUUAUGCUACACUUUGAAAAUCUUGAAUAUUUUUUCUUUUCAACUUAUUGAAGUUCAACUCAAAUUUUUGUCUUUAACAACUUAUGACAAAAUAUUUUCUUCAUAAAAUCAAUCAAAGACAAACAUACUCAAACCUUAAAAUUGAAACUUUAUUCAUAAAGUGAAUAUUUCUCUUUUAAAGUCAUGAAGUUUGAAACUUUGUUUCUCAAAGUUAAAUCUCUUCAUAAAAAUUGAAAACUUAAUAUCAACGACUAAAACUUUUUAGUUCAAUCUAUAAAGGUGGAAACUUUGAUUUCACAAAAACCUCAAGGAUAAAAUCUUUAACACCUUAAUAACAAAGUAAACUUAAAACCAACCUUUAAACAAAAUUUUGAACUCCCUUUCUAUAUAUAUACCACUCGGCUAAAAUUCAUUUUACUUAACAAAGUCUUUCAAAAAAAAAAAAAAAAUCCAAAUCUAGUUUGAAACACCUUAAAUAAUCAAUGACAACAACUCAUAUGGUUUCAAACUUUAAACGACUCCAAAUUUUAAUUUAUACUACCAUUAAAGUUCAUAAAAUUUAUACUAUUCAAAUACUUUUGAAUUAAAACAAACCACAACAAUUCAUUUACCACUUUAUUUCAAAACUUAUUUCAAAAAUUUAGCCAUGACCUUUUUGUUCUUAUCUCUUUUCCUUAAAAAUUUCAACCCAACAAACAUAAAAUAUUCAGAGUUCUCCCUGCCGCUAACUUCCCGAUUAUUUUUUGAGACUCAAAGAGCUAACUUCAUAAACAUAGGGAAUUGUAAAAUUUACUUCAAGGAUACAUUAGUCAAGAAAACUACUCAAUUCAUUUUUCAUCAAUCACUAAAUUUAAAAUCCUCAUUUUACAACUUUGAGGUUUUUAAAAAAAAUAUAUAUAUAUCACUUUGGUCCCCAAACACCUUAACAUAACCAAACACACUUGCAAAAGUCUUCUUAACUUUACUAACUUAAACCCUUUAAUAAAAUUUCUAUUGUUAUUUCAAACUUAUUUAUUAGAAAAUAACUCCAUUAUGUUACUCAAACACAUACAAAAAUUAAAUUUUCACAUUAUAUAACACACCACAUUUCGUCUUACUAAAAGUUUUGGGGGGUUGAUUUCAUUUUUUUUUAUUCAAGUUAUUAACUCCUCUAAUUUCAAUAUUAACAUAGCACCAAAGCAAAAUCAGACUUUCCUUUUACUCUCUUACUUAGGAUUUUUUAUUUUUGAAAUAAAAAGAGUUGAAAAUGUUUCCUUUGACUUUCUAAACAUUAAUAACAACCAUAGUAGUGAUAAACAAGCAAAAUUAAAGCUCAAAACAUAAAAUUAAAAAAUUAAAAAAAAAAAUCAUUUUCCCCCCUAUAUAUGCAUGCUUACGUGAUUUAGAGAAAAUAGGGAAGAAAUGACUACCUCGACUAGUGAUCCUUAGUUCUUUGCAAUCCUCUCAAGUAACGAAAUAAUUUUGUAAUUGAAAGUUUUGUGAUUGGAAGUUUCCUUGAAGCUCAAAAAUGGAAGAAAAGAGAAGAAGAAAAUUUUGAAAUAAUAGGGAAGAAGGAGUAUGCUGGUGGGUGUAAC
rnacentral:lncRNA from 1 species